AUUGAACGCUGGCGGCAGGCCUAACACAUGCAAGUCGAACGAGUGGCGGACGGGUGUUUAAUGUCGGGGACACUGCCUGAUGGAGGGGGAUAACUACUGGAAACGGUAUCUAAUACCGCAUACCAGCGGAUGUGCCCGGAUGGGAUUGGCUAGUAGGUGGGGUAAAGGCUCACCUAGGCGACGAUCCCUAGCUGGUCUGAGAGGAUGAACAGCCACACUGGAACGAAGACACGGUCCAGACUCCUACGGGAGGCAGCAGUGGGGAAUAUUGCACAAUGGGCGCAAGCCUGAUGCAGGCAUGCGGCGUGUAUGAAGAAGGCCUUCGGGUUGUAAAGCACUUUCAGCGAGGAGGCGUUACUCGCAGAAGAAGCACCGGCUAACUCCGUGCCAGCAGCAGCGGUAAUUC
rnacentral:rRNA from 1 species